GACGAACGCUGGCGGCGUGCUUAACACAUGCAAGUCGAACGAGAACGGGUUAUAACUUGCUAUAAUUGUCAGCUAAGUGGCGCACGGGUGAGUAAUGUAUAGGUACUAUGCCUCUUACUAAGGGAUAACAAAUGGAAACGUUUGCUAAUACCUUAUACUCCUUAUUAACAGAAGUUAAUAAGGGAAAGAUUUAUUGGUAAGAGAUUAGCCUGUAUUGUAUCAGUUAGUUGGUGGGGUAAUGGCUUACCAAGACUAUGACACAUAACUGGUUUGAGAGGAUGAUCAGUCACACUGGAACUGAGACACGGUCCAGACUCCUACGGGAGGCAGCAGUGGGGAAUAUUGCACAAUGGACGAAAGUCUGAUGCAGCAACGCCGCGUGGAGGAUGACACAUUUCGGUGCGUAAACUCCUUUUAUAUGAGAAGAUAAUGACGGUAUUAUAUGAAUAAGCACCGGCUAACUCCGUGCCAGCAGCCGCAGUAA
rnacentral:rRNA from 1 species